rnacentral:rRNA from 1 species
UACGGGGGGGGCAAGCGUUGUUCGGAAUUACUGGGCGUAAAGGGUGCGCAGGCCGCGCGGGCAGUCAAAUGAGUAAUCCAGGGGCUCAACCCCUGAACUGCGCUUGAUACUUCCGCGCUCGAGCUUUGGAGAGGAGUCUGGAAUUCUCGGUGUAGCAGUGAAAUGCGUGGAUAUCGAGAAGAACACUUAGGGCGUAAGGCAAGACUCUGGACAAAUGCUGACGCUCAUGCACGAAGGCUAGGGUAGCGAACGGG